rnacentral:rRNA from 1 species
GAUGAACGCUGGCGGCGUGCCUAAUACAUGCAAGUCGAACGAAGAUCUAGCUUGCUAGAUCUUAGUGGCGAACGGGUGAGUAAUACAUAAAUAAUCUGCCCAUAUGACUGGGAUAACUAUUGGAAACGAUAGCUAAUACCGGAUAGGUUGAUCGGAGGCAUCUCUGAUGAAUUAAAGUAGGAUUUCUACACAAAUGGAUGAGUUUAUGGCGCAUUAGUUAGUUGGUGGGGUAACGGCCUACCAAGACGAUGAUGCGUAGCCGACCUGAGAGGGUGACCGGCCACACUGGGACUGAGACGCGGCCCAGACUCCUACGGGAGGCAGCAGUAGGGAAUUUUCGGCAAUGGGCGCAAGCCUGACCGAGCAACGCCGCGUGAGUGAUUAAGGCCUUCGGGUUGUAAAGCUCUGUUGUAAGGGAAGAACAUUCAGGAUAGGGAAUGAUCUUGAACUGACGGUACCUUACCAGAAAGCCACGGCUAACUACGUGCCAGCCGCCGCAGUAA